CUCUGAUAUACAAAUCUUCUGAAAACUUUAAUAUUAUCAAGGUUUAUAACCGACUUAAUCUAAGAAUUGAGAUUCUUUUCAGGUAUUUUUAUAAUACUACAGUAGCAAUUAUUGCCAAUUAACACACAGUACAUUGUAAUUGUUUUUGUUCUUGAAAAUUGCCCUUUCCACGCGCUCUUUCAACCAUUAGAAACAUAAUAGCGUUAAACGGCUAAAUUAUGCUGGAGAAACCACAAAUGUCUCUACAUUUAAAGUUUUUUCAAACUGACACAGUGGCCGGAAUGGACAAGAUUACAAUUAAUUGUGACAUUUUUCUUCGACAACAGCACUCUUCGCGGCUCCUGCCGGCUCUAUACUGACCCUGUUUCACACGCAAUAUUUUCCUUAUUCAGUCACUAACACACCUUUUGUAUCCCACUAUGAAGAACAUCAACAUUUCCACCAAAACCCCGAAAAAAUAAUCAUUUUAUAGACGAAACAAUAAAAUAUUUCAAACAAUUUGUUUUGCUUUUGGCAACGCAUGCGCAGUUCGGUCGACAUACAGUUUUCUGUAUGUCUGAGGGAUUUUACUACAUCCCGGGCGUUCUUUGUCAGUGCCCGCGAUCACAACUAGUAUUAUCAGCGGUACAUGAUGAUAACAUUGAGUGUUUCCUGAAAUCAU